AGAGAAUACAUAAAUCCCUUUAUUGCCAUAUAUGAAACGCUUGAUUCAUAACAUUAUGCUAACAACAUUUGACGUAAAUCGCAGUCGUUAUGUUACAAAGGCUGUUAGUGAAUUUACUUAAGAGAUCACAAGUGUCACUAAGAAGAAAAUGCCUAUAGCCUCGUUUAAAAAGGCCGAUAGACUUGGAAAAAGUGUACGAAAAUCCUUCAAUGUAGUUACAUAUUGCAACAGUAUUAUAGUAAAACAAAACAUCUAGGUGAAAUAUGAAGGUAUUUCAAGGCCUUGUAGAAAAUUACGAGAUUGUAUAGGUUAUUGGAAGAUUUUGGAGUAUUGCAGUACUUUUUUGAAUGAACUCAAAAAGACUUCUGGACUUUAUAAGUUUUAACACCAGAUUCGAUUAACUGACAGGUUAACGUGCUCGUGAAUAACCAGUCAUAGAAAACGGGAAAUCUUGAGGGAGAUUUUGAACUGACGAUCACAGAGAGUCUGGAUGCAUUUUUCCUUGCCAGUGGGAAGCGACUUCAAGUAAGGUAGUGGGAGGAGCCUGUUCACCUACCGGACAAAGGAAGAAAAAGUUUUUAACCACGAAUUAUUUGGAAUUCAAGUUGCUGUCGAGUAGAAACUACAGCUGUAUAAUUAAUGGGAGGGGAACCAAGGACCUAAUGACAUCAAAAACAGACAGGGGCA